rnacentral:rRNA from 1 species
CCUUGUACACACCGCCCGUCACGUCACGAAAGUCGGCAACACCCGAAGCCCGUGGCCCAACCAGCUUGCUGGGGGAGCGGUCGAAGGUGGGGCUGGCGAUUGGGACG